CUUCCUUCCUUCCUUCCUUCCUUCCUUCCUUCCUUCCUUCCUUCCUUCCUUCCUUCCUUCCUUCCUUCCUUCCUUCCUUCCACCAUUUCCGCCACUUCCGCCACUUCCUUCCGCCACUUCCUUCUUUCCGCCACUUCCUUCCUUCCAGCACUCCCGCCACUUCCUUCCUUCCACCAUUCCUUCAUUCUGCCACUUCCGCCACUUCUGCCACUUCCGCCACUUCCAUCUGCCAUUUCCUUCCUUCCACCACUUCCUUCCACCACUUCCGCCACUUCCGCCACUUCUGCCACUUCCUUUAUUAUAAAACUUCUGCCACUCAUGAUGUCCGUGAAUGUUAAGAUGAAAAAUUUUGCUCUGAGAAAAGAAUUUGGAGAGAAGAAGGCUGUAUGGAUUGUCCUGGCCAUUACUGACAUCAAAGGAUCAAAUAUGUCUUGUUUGCUGUGCCUUGUGAUUCCAAUCACAAGAAUAUCUUCAAGCUUGGGGAACAGCACUCUUUUUAUCAGUCCUUUAGGUUUCCAGGCAAGUUCAAGCCAAAACUCAUUUCCUUCUGGAUCUGCUGCCUAUCUCUUGCCCUUCUGACUGUCUCCUGGUGAGCUUCUAAGCAGUCACACAGAACAGUCAAAUCGCCUUCACCAACAGGGGUCUGAAGUGCUACCACAAAGGAAUAGCUCAAUUACAGAAUCACAGAAUCAUUAAGGAACAGGAGGAUGAAGUAGCAAGGAAGGAGAAAGAUUUUGUUUUCUCCCUUCAUCAUCUAUUCAAAGGCAAAGGGAUAUGCUGUGAAGGACAAUGGCAGCCAGCUCCGAAGCUGUCAGUGCCGGGACCUCCAGGGCGGGACUGCCUGGCUCAGGAUGUAUCGACCAAGAGACUGGAAAAUACAGAUGCUGAAAAUGAAAAUGUUUUCAAAUCAAAGACGCAACUCAUGACUCAAACUUUAGGUAUUGGAGAAAAAUAAAUGCAGUCUAUGUGAUGCAUCAGAAGGCUGUUGAAGUUAUCAGCUUCUGCACAGUUUGUUGCCAUGCAGGUGCAUUUAUGAUUACUUCAUAACCCACUGUUACUUUUCUCUCUUAGCAGGUUAUCACCUUUGUCUUCAGCAGCUCAAUAAAAUUUCCUAGAGCACCAGUAGACUGAUUUGGAUAUUGCAUGGAAAUAGAAAACAUUUUUUAUUUUCACAUGUAAUUUAUCUAUUUGUUAUUCACAUAUUUCUUCAUAAAUGUUGUCAAAUUACAUAUUCAGACAUGCAAAUCUCUUAGUAGGAGCAAUGCGGUUUUCUGUGGCUAUUUUUGCAUAAUUUCAUAAUGUCAAUAUUGACAAUGUGUUAUAGGACAUAAGUUUGUGUCAUAAGUCACUAAACAUGGCUGCUACUUUAUAUUGCUUGAAAUAUUUUUCUCCAUUGAAUGGCUCAUAAAGGAGAAGAUUAAAUCUAUGUAAGACUGGAUGUUACCUGUCUUUCAUUUCAAUAACUCAAAUAUUCAUUUUAUAUUGCUACAGUAGCCUUUUACAGCAAAUCACAUUCUGCUGUGAUGCUGUGAAAGUUUGUAAUAUGCUCAAAAACAUUCCACAUACAUUUGCUUGAAAUCCAUCAUGAAGCAUUGUUUUGCCUGUCCCUUCUAACAAAGCCACUGGUUUUACUAAUAGUAAAGGGGUUGAUGGAGAGAAAGAGAGAAAGAAUGACUGGUCCCUUCUGUCUCCUUUGGUGAAGCCAGGCUAGAAAUCUGCGAAAAUCUGAUUUUUAAAAAAAAUUCUAUGGAACUGCAGAUGAUAAUGGGGCUUCAAAGGCAGAUCUCACAGCAAUUUAGUGGUAGUCAGUUGAAAAUCUAGAAAACUUUAACUCAGCAAUUUUGAGAAAUUGACUGACUUGUGAAUGGAAAAUGGGGGAAAUAAACCCUGAGGGCUACUGAAAAUUACAUUUUCAAGCAACUAGCUCAAGGAUUUUCACAAAAUUGUCUGUAACUGAAGUACAAUGGGGAAAAUUGCCUCUUUGAGCUCUAUGGUAUUUUGACUAGAUGUGCACUUAACUAUGUCACAAUAAGGUAGCAUA